AGUGAACGCUGGCGGUAGGCCUAACACAUGCAAGUCGAACGGCAGCACAGUAAGAGCUUGCUCUUACGGGUGGCGAGUGGCGGACGGGUGAGGAAUACAUCGGAAUCUACUUUUUCGUGGGGGAUAACGUAGGGAAACUUACGCUAAUACCGCAUACGACCUACGUGUGAAAGCAGGGGAUCUUCGGACCUUGCGCGAUUGAAUGAGCCGAUGUCGGAUUAGCUAGUUGGCGGGGUAAAGGCCCACCAAGGCGACGAUCCGUAGCUGGUCUGAGAGGAUGAUCAGCCACACUGGAACUGAGACACGGUCCAGACUCCUACGGGAGGCAGCAGUGGGGAAUAUUGGACAAAGGGCGCAAGCCUGAUCCAGCCAUACCGCGUGGGUGAAGAAGGCCUUCGGGUGGUAAAGCCCUUUUGUUGGGAAAGAAAAGCAGCAGGUUAAUACCCCGCUGUUCUGACGGUACCCAAAGAAUAAGCACCGGCUAACUUCGUG
rnacentral:rRNA from 1 species